AUGAACGCUGGCGGCGUGCCUAAUACCUGCCAGUCGAGCGAACAGACGAGGAGCUUGCUCCUCUGACGUUAGCGGCGGACGGGUGAGUAACACGUGGAUAACCUACCUAUAAGACUGGGAUAACUUCGGGAAACCGGAGCUAAUACCGGAUAAUAUAUUGAACCGCAUGGUUCAAUAGUGAAAGACGGUUUUGCUGUCACUUAUAGAUGGAUCCGCGCCGCAUUAGCUAGUUGGUAAGGUAACGGCUUACCAAGGCAACGAUGCGUAGCCGACCUGAGAGGGUGAUCGGCCACACUGGAACUGAGACACGGUCCAGACUCCUACGGGAGGCGGCAGUAGGGAAUCUUCCGCAAUGGGCGAAAGCCUGACGGAGCAACGCCGCGUGAGUGAUGAAGGUCUUCGGAUCGUAAAACUCUGUUAUUAGGGAAGAACAAAUGUGUAAGUAACUAUGCACGUCUUGACGGUACCUAAUCAGAAAGCCACGGCUAACUACGUG
rnacentral:rRNA from 1 species